rnacentral:rRNA from 1 species
GGAUUAGGCAUGCAAGUCGAACGCUCAUCUUCGGAUGGGAGUGGCGGAAGGGUGAGGAACACGUGAAUAAUCUGCCCCCAAGUUUGGAAUAACUUUCCGAAAGGAAAGCUAAUACCGAAUGUGGUUGAUUUACCGCAUGGUGAAUCAACUAAAGAUUUAUUGCUUGGGGAUGAGUUCGCGUCCCAUUAGCUAGUUGGUGAGGUAACGGCUCACCAAGGCCGAGAUGGGUAGCUGGUCUGAGAGGAUGAUCAGCCACACUGGGACUGAGACACUGCCCAGACUCCUACGGGAGGCUGCAGUCGAGAAUCUUUUGCAAUGCGCGAAAGCGUGACAAAGCAAUGCCGCGUGCCGGAUGAAGGUCUUCGGAUUGUAAACGGCUGUCACCCGUGACGAAAAAUGACGGUAACGGGAGAGGAAGCCACGGCUAACUACGUGCCAGCAGCCGCGGUAAUACGUAGGUGGCGAGCGUUGUUCGGAUUUAUUGGGCGUAAAGGGUCCGUAGGUGGUUUGUUAAGUCUGACGUGAAAUCCCAUGGCUCAACCAUGGAACUGCGUUGGAAACUGAUGAACUGGAGUGUUGUAGAGGUAAGCGGAAUACCAGGUGUAGCGGUGGAAUGCGUAGAUAUCUGGUAGAACACCGAAAGCGAAGGCAGCUUACUGGGCAACAACUGACACUGAGGGACGAAAGCGUGGGGAGCAAACAGGAUUAGAUACCCUGGUAGUCCACGCCGUAAACGUUGUCAACUUGAUGUGGGAGGAUUUAACCCCUUCCGUGUCAAAGCUAACGCGAUAAGUUGACCGCCUGGGGACUACGGCCGCAAGGCUAAAACUCAAAGGAAUUGACG